rnacentral:lncRNA from 1 species
AUAGAUAAAUAAAUAAAUGUAUUUCUUAGCAGUUUUCAUCCUUCCUAACAUAAGGCAAACUCUUUAUAGGUGACCAGUGUUGGACUUUUCCCUACACCUCCUCAUCCUACUUGGAAAAUAGCCUUGCAACUGGGGGCUGUGCAUCAGUGCUUCCUGAGGAUCAUCACCUGUCCCUGAAAAGUCAUCCCAGGGGCACCAUGCAGCCUUUGCAUCUCCUCAAGGAACAGUCAUGCUCAAACUCUGUGAUAGUAAAAGAGGAAUUCAGGUGGCCCAGCCCAAGGCACACUAUGCUUUCUCCUCCCAAAGGAAGACCCAAUGUCUUCUUCAUACCUUGCUCAUAUGCUGCAAGAGAUCCUUCUGCCAGCUCACAGUAUUACAGCAGGAGAGAAGAGAGACCUGUAGCAGGACAACAACUGUGAGCCUCACGCGUGCUUCCUUCCCCUUUUUGUCAUGUUCCCCAGUGCACAUCCAGUAAGUAACAGGAAGCACACAGAAUAAGGAGUGGCAGAAAUAUGACCUUGUGCUCAUUUUGGAGGGGUCUUUUCUGUACUUGUCUUGUAUUUCAACAUACUAUCCAAAGCACUCAGUUCCACAUCUUGUCAAAAGAAAUUUAAGCAAUUGGUGCUUCCAGAAGCGUAUGGCUAUUAACUACAGUACAGCAAAAUUCUUCUCAUAUUUUUCUAAUCAAAAGUUCUCCAUGGGCUUUUAUUCCCAGUCCUCCUCUGAGUGUCUCUGAGAAAAGACAUACUACCACCCUACUUUCCACUAUUAUCAAUUAUCCAGCAUUACUAAGAUAGAAGAGAGCCGUUUCCCAUAGAAGAGAACAGUUUCCCACAGAAGUGCCUCUUGUUUGAUUUUCAUGCAAAAAUAUUUUUCAAUUAGCCAAGCAAGUAUAUUCUAUGGAGAACACGUGAAGGAUCCCAGCUGUAGCUGGUGAAUGGAUUACUCUGUAUGCAGGGUGGACUUGGUAGUGUGCUGUCAGUCAUGGUAUGAGAGUCGAAGCACAGCCCAGCCUUCUGACAGAUGAUUAACCAGUCAUUUUCUGAAGCCACUGGCACGCUGCAAACAACUGGCUGGCCUUCAGCAGCUUCUCUUUGACACUCCAGGCCAGGUGACUGUAUCAUUCACAGGUGCAGCUUUAAGGAUCACAUAAUU